AAAAGGCGGCGUAAGCUGUCGCUAAAGGAUGGACCCGCGGUGCAUUAGCUAGUUGGUAAGGUAACGGCUUACCAAGGCGACGAUGCAUAGCCGAGUUGAGAGACUGAUCGGCCACAUUGGGACUGAGACACGGCCCAAACUCCUACGGGAGGCAGCAGUAGGGAAUCUUCCACAAUGGGCGAAAGCCUGAUGGAGCAACGCCGCGUGAGUGAAGAAGGUUUUCGGAUCGUAAAGCUCUGUUGUUGGUGAAGAAGGAUAGAGGUAGUAACUGGCCCCUAUUUGACGGUAAUCAACCAGAAAGUCACGGCUAACUACGUGCCAGCAGCCGCGGUAAUACGUAGGUGGCAAGCGUUGUCCGGAUUUAUUGGGCGUAAAGCGAGCGCAGGCGGAAAGAUAAGUCUGAUGUGAAAGCCCCCGGCUUAACCGAGGAAUUGCAUCGGAAACUGUGUUUCUUGAGUGCAGAAGAGGGGAGUGGAACUCCAUGUGUAGCGGUGGAAUGCGUAGAUAUAUGGAAGAACACCAGUGGCGAAGGCGGCUCUCUGGUCUGUAACUGACGCUGAGGCUCGAAAGCAUGGGUAGCGAACAGGAUUAGAUACCCUGGUAGUCCAUGCCGUAAACGAUGAGUGCUAAGUGUUGGGAGGUUUCCGCCUCUCA
rnacentral:rRNA from 1 species